CUGACGUCCAGGCAUUCUUUUACACAUCGGUCCCUUCCUAGUCUCUGUUCCCAGUGUAACUAGUCCCAAAUCUUCAACCCAUUAUUCUGUUCUAGAUCUCAAACAUGCUUUCUUUACUGUUCCCCUGCACCCCUCGUCCCAGCCUCUCUUUGCUUUCUGCUCCCCGGCUCCUUCAGCUGUACUCACUCUUUGUUAGGUCCCACAAUUACCAUUGUUCCUGGCCCGGAGAAUGCUACAAGGUACAGCCCAUUUGAGCUCCUGUAUAGACACUCCUUUUUAUUAGGCCCCAGUCUCAUCCAGACACCAGACCAACUUAGACUGUGCCCCCAAAAAACUUGUCAUCCCUACUAUCUUCUGUCUAGUCAUACUCCUAUUCACCGUUCUCAACUACUCAUACAUGCCCUGAUCUUGUUUACACUGCUGUUUCUCCAAGCCAUCGCAGCUGAUAUCUCCUGGUGCUAUCCCCAAACUGCCACUCUAAACUCUUGAAAAAAAAUAAUAAAAAAUGAAAUAAAAAUAUAUGGCAUUGGCCAGGUGCGGUGGCUCACAACUGUAAUCCCAGCAGUUUGGGAGACUGAGGCAGGUGGAUCACUUGAGCCCAAGAGUUCGAGACCAGCCCAGGCAAUGUAGUGAGACCCUGGCUCUACAAAAAAUAGCCAGGCACGGUGGUGUGUAUCUGUAGUUCAAGUUACUUGGAAGUCUGAGUUGGGAGGAUUACGUCAGCGCAGGGAGGUCGAUGAUGCAGUGAGCCACGAUCAUGCCACUGUACUCCAGUCUGGGUGAUAGGGUGAGAGCCUGUCUAAAAAAUAUAUAUAUAUGUCAUUUUAAAACUGUGUAUACAUACAGACAGAUAUGAUGCAGAUACACAGUCCCACACACAUUUUACUUUCAAUAUAAUUCAAUGCAUACUGUUUGCAAUUUUGUACAAAAUCUUUAGAACACCUUAUAAUAUCUGCAUGAAUCCAUAUCAAUAUAUACUUUUGAGGGCUUGAGAUUUUUGGAUUUUACUCUAGAAGAACUUUAAGAAAUUAUAAUUCAAAAAGUAUAUGGUAGGUCAAACAUAGUGAGACGAAGUAAUUUAAAAUGUCUGGGCCAUAUAUUAUCAUCUGUUGACGAUGCACAUAUAAUAUGAACUUAUAAGCCAAUGUUCAAAUUAUCCUGUAGUGUAACUAUUAAAACAAGUUAUCUUCACUUACAAAUUAAGUACUUUUCAAAUAUAAUAAUUAAUUAUUCUUGGAAAUAAUAAUAGGUUUUAAAAUAUUGGCACUUUUUAGAACUGAGUUAUGCUAAAUUCUUUCCUUAUUGUACUCUACUGGCUAAGGAACAAAAAGGCUCACCCGGCCUCCAGUUAUACAGUUCAUGGCUAUUCUUAUAAAGUUCAUAGAAGGCUCUAGAGGGAACGCAUGUAAAGCGGCACCGGUGCCCACCUAAGUAACGCCAGAGACGUCUGGAACUCUAAGUUUGGACCCCACAGGAGGAUGCUCUGGAAGAUCCUCCGUGCCUCAAAUUCUCCAAAGAGGAUGCUUUCUGCAGAGGUUCUAAGGUCUAGUAUUAAGCCCUCCUUGGAAUUUUCUCUCAGAGUUGUAAUGUUCCUUGGCCCCAAAAUUGUUUAGAAUCUGAAGUUUAUUGUCUAAUGGGAAAGCCGGAUGGUGUUGCAUGUAACCGGGCUUUUGUGCUGCUGUUCUAAGUAGGGGGCCUCGUUAACGUGUGAUGCCUUCCUUUGUUAGUUUGGCCCCAGUGAUCCUUAUUGGAGUCUGGGGAGGUUUAGACUUUAAAAAUCAAACUGCCAUGGAGACUGCUUACCCGAAAUUUUGGUUCACAGCCUUCAUUGGAUUAUCUGUUGGGGCAAAGUAAAACUGGCAAGCUUGUAUUGCUAUCUCAUGGCUAAAGUUGCAAGCUAUUGGAGCCUGCAGCUCCCACGCAAGGGGAAGAGGAGGAAGUCCUCCCCUACAAAGCGAAUUCACAAACUUGAAAGAAGCAAUUUACACAGGAUGUGCAGAUCUCAACGGAAGGACACCGGAAACAUCAAAAGCAAGGAAACGGGAUACUUCCAAAGGAACCCAGUAAUUCUCCAGCAACAGAUCCCUAUCCAAAAGAAAUUCAAGAAAUGUCAGAUAGAGAAUUGUGCAUACUGAUUUUAACCAAGAUUAGGGGAUACAAGAGACUUCUGAAAAAGAAAGGAGCGAAAUGACAGAAGCAAUUCUGGAUAUGGUUGAGGUAAUUACCAACCAGAUACGGAGUUUUCCAGGGCACACAGCAAAUGUGGAACUGAAGAAAUCAUAGGAUGAAAUACAAAGUACACUCAAAAGCUUCAAUGAUAGACUAGAUCAAGCAGAAAAAACCCUCAGAACUUAAAAUCUGAAAGCCUUUUUCUCAAUUCAAAGAUUUAAAGGGUUGUACUCUGGCCAUUCACGUGAACAAAAUCUGCUGGGUUAAUUGGUUUGGUUU
rnacentral:lncRNA from 1 species